CGUUCUAUGGCCAAACUGGUGAAGGCAUCGCCGAUUACAGGCUUAAGAUGCGGGUUCGAGUCCCGCUGGGACGG
rnacentral:tRNA from 1 species